rnacentral:sRNA from 1 species
AUGAUGGACAGUGAAACUGGUCGAUCCAAGGGAUAUGGAUUUAUUACAUUUUCUGACUCAGAAUGUGCCAAAAAGGCUUUGGAACAACUUAAUGGAUUUGAACUAGCAGGAAGACCAAUGAAAGUUGGUCAUGUUACUGAACGUACUGAUGCUUCGAGUGCUAGUUCAUUUUUGGACAGUGAUGAACUGGAAAGGACUGGAAUUGAUUUGGGAACAACUGGUCGUCUUCAGUUAAUGGCAAGACUUGCAGAGGGUACAGGUUUGCAGAUUCCACCAGCAGCACAGCAAGCUCUACAGAUGAGUGGCUCUUUGGCAUUUGGUGCUGUGGCAGAUUUGCAAACAAGACUUUCCCAGCAGACUGAAGGUGAGUUGAAGUGUUCAUAUUUUUUAUUUUUGUCUUUGAAAUAGAAUUAAAUGUAGUAAGACAGUUUUCUAUAUUUAUUGUCAUAUUUUUAUACCAGUAAUUUGGACCGAAUUUUGACACAGUGACACAUAGUGGUAUAUUCAUAGUAAUCUGUAUUUCAGAAGACCUAACCCAAAUUAAUGGACUU